AGAGUUUGAUCCUGGCUCAGAUUGAACGCUGGCGGCGUGCUUAACACAUGCAAGUCGUGCGAGAAAGGGGGCUUCGGUCCCUGAGUAGAGCGGCGCACGGGUGAGUAGCGCGUGGAUAAUCUCCCCAGAAGUUCGGGAUAACGGCGGGAAACUGCCGCUAAUACCGGAUACGCUCCAAUUUCGGUUGGGGGAAAGGCGGCCUCUGUUUACAAGCUGUCGCUUCUGGAUGAGUCCGCGUCCCAUUAGCUUGUUGGUGGGGUAAUGGCCUACCAAGGCUACGAUGGGUAGCUGGUCUGAGAGGAUGAUCAGCCACACUGGAACUGAAACACGGUCCAGACUCCUACGGGAGGCAGCAGUGGGGAAUAUUGCGCAAUGGGGGAAACCCUGACGCAGCGACGCCGUGUGAGGGAUGAAGGCUUUCGGGU
rnacentral:rRNA from 1 species